rnacentral:piRNA from 1 species
ACCAGAAUACAGAGAAGACGGG